UCUUGGAAUACACUGGAAGACUUUCAUAAGUUCAGAGUAUUAAUAUGUACAUUUCGCCUAUAAAACUUUCAUGGUAAAUAGAAAGACACGUGGGAAAUAAGACGGUUAUUCUUGAUUGUUAUCUUGAUGGAAUUUAGAAUUAGUCACCAUGGAAACAAAUCUCUGAGCAGGUACAUGAAGGAGUUUCUAGACUGGAUGAACUGACUUGAGAAGACCCACCUUAUAUGUGGGGGUCCUGGUCCAGAUUAAAAGAAUGAGGACCGGCUAUGGGCAUUCAUCUCCCUUGGUUUCGUGACUGAGGUGGAAGUGUGAUCAGCCUCCUGCCAUGCUGCCUUCCCUGCCAUGAUGGACUAUGACUUCAAGCUGUGAACCUCUCCUUCCUAAGUUCACUUUGUCAGACACUCUGUCAUGACAAGAGAAAGAAGUAAUCCAAGAAAUACAUUUAAGUAUUUAAGGAAGAUCAUUUCCUUAAACCAUGGCGAACAACCACAAAAUGUUAAUUAAGUGAGCAGAAAAAUGAGUGAAGACUGUAAACUCCAUAUCAAAAGGCUCUCCCAUCUGUACUGAAGCAGACUCGCCACAAAUGGGGCUUAUAAAUAGGAUUUUGGGGUGCUCCUGAUCUACCCCUGUUUCUUCACAGAGUAGCACUGUAGCAGAAUUCUGGACAGACAUUCUCACCGGCCUGGGACUAGCCAAUUAGGCUAUGCUAGUUGGCCACUGAGGCGUAGAGUUCUGCCUGUCUCCACCUUCCGGGUGCUGGGAUUAGAGUCGUGCACUGCCAAGCUCACGUGGGCUCUGGAGCCAGAACUCAGGUCCUCAUACUUGAACAGCACGUAUUUUACCGACUGAGCUUUCCCUCCAAUAGUCAAAUUUUCUCCAAUAGUCAAACAUGCCAGUAUAAUUGAAGAGGCCUCUUCCAAACUCCUCCAUAUCCAUAGGGUGGCAAUCAUAAGGGAGUACAAACCUGGCUUUUCCAAGUCACCUUCCCAGACACCUUUCCCCACUGCUCCGAGUUGUUAUGACUGCAGUUUUGAAUAGGUGCAGGAUGCUCGAUGGAGCAGCCAGAGACCUGCAAUAAGAGGCUUUCAUUUCAUCCAAAUAGUAACUCAGAUCACGAAUCACAUCAAGGCUGGCUUCCAGCAAUCCAUGUACUUUUAGCUCAUGGGCUGCUGGUUCUCAAUAAAAGUAUAGCCACUGGAAAUGAUUUCGACAUGAUCCUUUACCAAAAAUAUCUCUGAUGCAUUUUCAAAAAACAACCUGUUUCCCUCAACUUCUUGGACGCUUCCUACUGCCGGGGAAACAACGCCCAUGUUUAAAAGCCGCCAAGGCUAUGGAUCCCAAAGAACAGAACUUGAGUACUCUGUGUGCCCUGAAUGACUUUAUAGGCUCAAAACUCGAUUUUGAGAGGUCCAUAAAGGAGCACUCAGAGAGCAGAGGUUGGCCUGGGACAUGAGAACAGGAGCUGCCUUGGGGGCACAGCGUUUCUGUGAAUGUCCUUCCUGUCACCACAGCUCUAUUCGCUGACAAAAGCCCUGCUGUUUCCAACCAAUGGCAGGUCCAGGACAGUGCACUUCACCAGGACGGCAGUUCUGCAAAGCAGGCAAAACAAUUACUGGGAUGGAACCGGGCAGGAAACCCACUUCCUUUAUCCUCGGCAUCGGGAUGAAAAGAGGGACGGCGGCGGACGGUGAAAGGCUGGCCUUUCAGGCUGAUCCGCGCUGUCACCUCUUGUUACCUGCAUGAAAGAAGGGGAUUGUUUGGGCCUGAGGUCUCGACAAGCGUCUUGAUUUUCCAAAGCAGCUGCUGUUCAUCCACAGGCUCGUGGCUGGCCAGAGCCACCUGCCGUAUGUUUCCCUUUAUUCCCUGGUUCGGAUUACAAUGUAUACGGCUUUUAGCUUUAUUGCCUCCAA